GGAUUAGAUACCCUGGUAGUCCACGCCGUAAACGAUGGGUACUAGUUGGUGCGGGUGUUGACUCCUGCGCUGACGGAGCUAACGCGUUAAGUACCCCGCCUGGGGAGUACGGCCGCAAGGCUAAAACUCAAAGGAAUUGACGGGGGCCCGCACAAGCGGUGGAGCAUGUGGAUUAAUUCGAAGCAACGCGAAGAACCUUACCUAGCCUUGACAUCCUUGGAACCUGCCCCAAAAGGCGGGGUGCCCCUCGGGGAAUCAAGUGACAGGUGCUGCAUGGCUGUCGUCAGCUCGUGCCG
rnacentral:rRNA from 1 species